GCCUCCGUUGCAUAGUGGUAGUGUGUUUGCUUUGUAAGCGAAAGGUCGCGAGUUUGAUCCUCGCUGGGGCUU
rnacentral:tRNA from 1 species